rnacentral:rRNA from 1 species
GAUUGACCUCGGAUCAGGUAGGGAUACCCGCUGAACUUAAGCAUAUCAAUAAGCGGAGGAAAAGAAACCAACAGGGAUUGCCUCAGUAACGGCGAGUGAAGCGGCAACAGCUCAAAUUUGAAAUCUGGUCCUUUCAGGGCCCGAGUUGUAAUUUGUAGAGGAUGUUUCGGGUGCAGCGCGGGUCUAAGUCCUUUGGAACAGGGCGUCAUAGAGGGUGAGAAUCCCGUAUGUGACCCGUGAUCAAGCCCAUGUGAAACCCCUUCGACGAGUCGAGUUGUUUGGGAAUGCAGCUCAAAAUGGGUGGUAAAUUUCAUCUAAAGCUAAAUACCGGCCAGAGACCGAUAGCGCACAAGUAGAGUGAUCGAAAGAUGAAAAGCACUUUGGAAAGAGAGUCAAAAAGUACGUGAAAUUGUUGAAAGGGAAGCGCUUGCAACCAGACCUGUCCGCAGGCGAUCAACUCCCGUUCUCGGGGGUGCACUCGUCUGUGAUCAGGCCAGCAUCGGUUCGGGCGGUCGGAUAAAGGCCUUGGGAAUGUGGCUCCUCUCGGGGAGUGUUAUAGCCCUCGGUGCAAUGCGGCCAGCCCGGACCGAGGACCGCGCCUUCGGGCUAGGAUGCUGGCGUAAUGGUUGUAAGCGACCCGUCUUGAAACACGGACCAAGGAGUCUAACAUCUAUGCAAGUGUUUGGGUGUCAAACCCAUACGCGUAAUGAAAGUGAACGGAGGUGAGAACCCUUAAGGGCGCAUCAUCGACCGAUCCAGAUGUCUUCGGAUGGAUUUGAGUACGAGCAUAGCUGUUGGGACCCGAAAGAUGGUGAACUAUGCCUGAAUAGGGUGAAGCCAGGGGAAACCCUGGUGGAGGCUCGCAGCGGUUCUGACGUGCAAAUCGAUCGUCAAAUUUGGGUAUAGGGGCGAAAGACUAAUCGAACCAUCUAGUAGCUGGUUCCUGCC